UACGUAGGGUGCGAGCGUUAAUCGGAAUUACUGGGCGUAAAGCGUGCGCAGGCGGUUUUGUAAGCCAGAUGUGAAAGCCCCGGGCUCAACCUGGGAAUGGCAUUUGGGACUGCAAGGCUUGAGUGCGGCAGAGGAGACUGGAAUUCCUGGUGCAGCAGUGAAAUGCGUAGAUAUCAGGAGGAAUACCGAUGGCGAAGGCAGGUCUCUGGGCCUGUCCUGACGCUGAGGCGCGAAAGCUAGGGGAGCGAACAGG
rnacentral:rRNA from 1 species